CCUACGGGGGGCUGCAGUGGGGGAUAUUGCACAAUGGGGGAAACCCUGACGCAGCGACGCCGCGUGGGCGAAGAAGUAUUUCGGGAUGUAAAGCCCUAUCAGCAGGGAAGAAGAAAUGACGGUACCUGAGGAAGAAGCACCGGCUAAAUACGUGCCAGCAGCCGCGGUAAUACGUAUGGUGCAAGCGUUAUCCGGAUUUACUGGGUGUAAAGGGAGCGCAGGCGGCACGGCAAGCCUGAUGUGAAAGCCGGCGGCUCAACCGCGGGACUGCAUUUGGAACUGCCGGGCUUGAGUGCCGGAGAGGUAGGCGGAAUUCCUAGUGUAGCGGUGAAAUGCGUAGAUAUUAGGAGGAACACCAGUGGCGAAGGCGGCCUGCUGGACGGUGACUGACGCUGAGGCUCGAAAGCGUGGGGAGCAAACAGGAUUAGAUACCCGGGUAGUC
rnacentral:rRNA from 1 species